GACGAACGCUGGCGGCGUGCUUAACACAUGCAAGUCGAACGGAAAGGCCCUGCUUUUGUGGGGUGCUCGAGUGGCGAACGGGUGAGUAACACGUGAGUAACCUGCCCUUGACUUUGGGAUAACUUCAGGAAACUGGGGCUAAUACCGGAUAGGAGCUCCUGCUGCAUGGUGGGGGUUGGAAAGUUUCGGCGGUUGGGGAUGGACUCGCGGCUUAUCAGCUUGUUGGUGGGGUAGUGGCUUACCAAGGCUUUGACGGGUAGCCGGCCUGAGAGGGUGACCGGCCAGAUAGGGACGGAGACACGGCCCAGACGCCGAGGGGGGGCAGCAGGGGAGAGUAUGGCACAAUGGGCGGAGGCCGGAUGCAGCAAGGCCGCGUGCGGGAGGGCGGCCUGCGGGUUGUGAGCGUCUUUCGCCUGUGACGGAGCGGGAGUGAGGGUGAUGGGUAAAGAAGCACCGGAGAACUGCGUGCGAGGAGCCGCGGUAAGGUCGAAGAGAACACGAAUGACC
rnacentral:rRNA from 1 species